rnacentral:rRNA from 1 species
GACGAACGCUGGCGGCGUGCUUAACACAUGCAAGUCGUACGGUAAGGCCCUUUCGGGGGUACACGAGUGGCGAACGGGGGAGUAACACGUGAGUAACCUGCCCACAACUUUGGGAUAACGCUAGGAAACUGGUGCUAAUACUGGAUAUGUGCUCCUGCUGCAUGGUGGGGGUUGGAAAGCUCCGGCGGUUGUGGAUGGACUCGCGGCCUAUCAGCUUGUUGGUGGGGUAGUGGCCUACCAAGGCGGCGACGGGUAGCCGGCCUGAGAGGGUGACCGGCCACAUUGGGACUGACAGACGGCCCAGGCUCCUACGGGAGGCAGCAGUGGGGAAGAUUGCCCAAUUGGCGCAAGCCUGAUGCAGCAACGCCGCGUGCGGGAUGACGGCCUUCGGGUUGUAAACCGCGUUCAGCAGGGACGAAGCUUUUUGUGACGGUACCUGCAGAAGAAGCACCGGCUAACUACGUG